UCCAAUUCUAGACUUUGGAAUGCUUAGGUUCUGGGUCAGAGGAAAAAGGGAAAUUCACCACCAGUUUGGUGGGAUUUCGAAUUCUGUUCCUUUCCCCCCAUCUGCCUGCUAUUAUUGCUUUUUCAGGAUCCUCAAAGAUCUGCUCCAUUCAUUUCACACCUGUUUUAUUACUGCAUUAAGUGGGAGAGACAAGGUUACCCAGAACUGGAGCAUCUCUCUCAGGCUCAGACUACACAUGGGGCAGUAUGGUGCUGGUGUUAUGUGCAGGUUUGGAGGCUGAUUUAAUAGUGGAAGAGAAGCAGCCAGAGCUGGGCAGAUCAGAACGACUGCAGUCUGGGGGAGCCGGAAACAGGGAAGAUGCUGGACUUGCGUGCUGUGGUCCUAAAACCAGUCUGGGAGCUGACACUUGAGACACCUGAGCUCCCAGAUAUGCUGAGCACCUGAGGCCGGAGAGGGAGGUAGGAGUGAUGAGCAGGAGAUGGAUUCCAGAUCCACGAAGCAGGGAUGGCCAUAGAUCCUCAGUGCAGGACUCACUGGAGAACUCUCUGCACUUGGCAUUUUCUUGGUUAGAACAUUUUAAAUUACUAAAUGGAUUUCUGUUAAAGUUUUAUUAACUUUAUAUGUUGUGUGUUUUCUCUUUUUGCAUUUGUCAAUUUGGUUAAGUUUCUUUCUCAUAAAAUUACUCGUUACAACUAAAUUUUAUAUUUAUUGGAAUGAAAGAAGCCCAUAGUAGCUUCUUAUCUUCCUGAUGGUGACAGGAUCUGUAACUAGGCCUUCUUUUUCUUUUGUGGAAUUGGUUAUUUAUGCCAUCUCUAUUUGUUGAAGAGUUUUGCCUGAGGUUUGCAAGUUUUAUUAUGAGUUUUUGCAAAGAACCAACUUUUGGCUUUUUUUGGGGGGGGUUCUCUAUUGUUCUAUUAUUUCUUUUUUAUUUAUUAAUUUUCUUUUAAAAUUUGUUUAGUGUUCUUUUUUUUAACUUUUUGGAGACAGAUGGUUGAAAUAUUAAUUUUUAGUGGUUCUGUCUGACAUAUACAUUUAAAAUGAAAUUCAUUUCUUGCUAAGAGUUGUUUUAAACUCAUUACUCAUGUUUUGAUAUAUAGUAUUUUCUUUGAACUCCAAUUGAAAAUAUUUUUUCUGUUGCCCUUAUGUUUUCUUCGUUGGUCAAUCUGAUACUUGGAAGCAUAUUUCUUAAUUUUGAAAUACGUGAAACAUACUUAAUUAUCUUUUGGUUGUUUAUUUCUAUCAUAAUUACAUUGGGGUCAAAGAACCAGUCCUGCAUGAUUUCAGCUCUUUUAAAUUUUUAAAAGAUUUGCUUAGUGGUCCUGUACAUAGUUGGUUUUGAACAAAGUUUCACAUGUGCUUGGAGACAAAAUAUAUUCUAUAAUUUUUGGAUGCAGUACUGAGGUCAAGUUUAUUAAUUGUGUUGUUCAGAUCUUAGCUAAGAUGUAUAUUUUUAUUUGUGUUUUCUUUGGUUUUAUUUUUAGUUGACACAUAAUUCCACAUACUUAUGGGAUACAGAAUGAUAUAUGUAUUUUAUUGUAACUUACCAAGAGAUUUAU
rnacentral:lncRNA from 1 species